rnacentral:rRNA from 1 species
UACGAAGGGGGCUAGCGUUGCUCGGAAUGACUGGGCGUAAAGGGCGCGUAGGCGGAUCUUGCAGUUAGGCGUGAAAUUCCUGGGCUCAACCUGGGGGCUGCGCUUACGACGCGAGGUCUAGAGUUUGGAAGAGGGUCGUGGAAUUCCCAGUGUAGAGGUGAAAUUCGUAGAUAUUGGGAAGAACACCGGUGGCGAAGGCGGCGACCUGGUCCUUGACUGACGCUGAGGCGCGAAAGCGUGGGGAGCAAACAG